AUCACAACAGCUUCUGGAGUUAAGAUUCGUAAAGGCAGAUAUAUAGCUCUAGAUAUGGAGGCAUUCUGAAGAGAGAACAAUAAAGGUUGUCCAAAAGAGCUUGAGAAUUAUGCUCGUAGGAUUUUGGACAAGUGUCAAGGCUCACCAUUAGCUAUUGUAGCAAUUGGCAGUUUAUUAUCAUUCAAGGAAAAUAGUGAAAUUGAAUGGAAGAAAGUUCAUGAACGCCUACAUUGGGAGUUUGAAAACAACUCUUCGCUUGAUGAAGUGAAGACAUCUUCCCUGAAGAUUAUGAAAUAAGAAGGAAGAAAAUAAUCCGAUUGUGGGUAGCUGAAGGAUUCGUGGAGGCAAGGAGCAGUAACCGAUCAAUGGAAGAGGAGGCUGAAGACUAUCUUGCUGAACUUGUGGAUCGGUCCAUGCUUCAGGUGCUGCAUAGAAAUUUUUUUGGUAGGCCGAAAGCUUUCAGAAUGCAUGAUGUUGUAAGAGAGGUAACACUAGCAAUAUCUGUUGGGUUCGGAGCGCAGCGGAAGACUUAUAAUGAAUCAUGGAUCUUUCGUGGUACAUAUAGUUUUACACAAAAAAUAAUAUAAAA